AUUGAACGCUGGCGGCAGGCUUUACACAUGCAAGUCGAGCGGAGCGGCGGACGGAUGAGUAAUGACUAGGAAUCUGCUUGGUAGUGGGGGAUAACGUCCGGACACGGGCCCUAAUCCCGCACAUUAGCAGCUGAGCCUAGUUCGGAUUAGCUAGUUGGUGGGGUAAAGGCCUACCAAGGCGAAGGUCCGUAACUGGUCUGAGAGGAUGAUCAGUCAAACUGGAACUGAGACACGGACCAGACGCCUACGGGAGGCAGCAGUGGGGAAUGUUGGGCAGUGGUCGAAAGACUGAUCCAGCCAUGCCGCGUGUGUGAAGAAGGUCUUCGGAGGGUAAAGCACUUUAAGUGGGGAGGCGUUACCAACAGAAGAAGCACCGGCUAACUACGUGCCAGCAGCCGCGGUAAUUC
rnacentral:rRNA from 1 species